GACGAACGCUGGCGGCGUGCUUAACACAUGCAAGUCGAACGGGAAGGCCCUGCUUUUGUGGGGUGCUCGAGUGGCGAACGGGUGAGUAACACGUGAGUAACCUGCCCUUGACUUUGGGAUAACUUCAGGAAACUGGGGCUAAUACCGGAUAGGAGCUCCUGCUGCAUGGUGGGGGUUGGAAAGUUUCGGCGGUUGGGGAUGGACUCGCGGCUUAUCAGCUUGUUGGUGGGGUAGUGGCUUACCAAGGCUUUGACGGGUAGCCGGCCUGAGAGGGUGACCGGCCACAUUGGGACUGGGAUACGGCCCAGACUCCUACGGGAGGCAGCAGUGGGGAAUAGUGCACAAUGGGCGGAAGCCUGAUGCAGCAACGCCGCGUGCGGGAUGACGGCCUUCGGGUUGUAAACCGCUUUCGCCUGUGACGAAGCGUGAGUGACGGUAAUGGGUAAAGAAGCACCGGCUAACUACGUG
rnacentral:rRNA from 1 species